CCUCCUCAAUUUUCCCCAAAUAUUCCUCUCCUUACGCGCGAUACACAGGCCAUCCAUAUUGUUCCCUAAUUCUCAUUUUGAGCUCUGCCUUCACCGUUAACGCCCUUCAAUCAGUCUUCACCGUUAAUCAUUUUUAGCUCUGCUUUCACGAAUCAUUCAUCUUUACAUUUAAUUUCGCCCAGCUUUGUUCACAAAUUCACAUUUUUUUCCCAAUUCACGAUUCGCCCAGCUUUGUUCACCAGUAGAUCAGGCAAAGGAAGGUGCUGGCGGUAGCGGUGGUGGUGGCUGAUUGCUCGACUCUUGCAUGUCACAAAUUUCCUCGGAUCUUUUAAGGUGGAAAGAUAAGCCUGAUACAAUUUCAAAUCUUCAGUUUAGAGAUCUUUUGCUAUAUUGGAAUACCGAUGAGGCUAAGAAAAUCAGUCACAACAACAAAGACAAUCGUCUAAUGUUAGAUGAUAUGCACACUUUGGGUCGUAAGUCAUUUGCCAUUUUACGCCAUGAAUUGCGGCAAUAAGAUCCAGAUAAUAAGCAAGAGCCUUCCCAAGCAAAGGUUUAUAAGGAAUCGAGAAAAAGAAGUUCUGGAAGGACAUACAAAACUAGCCGUGGAAAAGCAAAGGAGAACAUUAGGCCAAAAUGGAUGGUGCGGAGUCUUCCCAACAUGAAGAUGGUAAUAACUGCAACGACCCUUACUACGAAGUGAUUCCUACUGCUAAACGCAAAAGUCGUGUGCAUUUGUAUGGAUCGGGUGUGAAAAAGACAGAUUUGAAGAAGAAAGUGAAUAAGCCCGAUUUCAUAUUCCCAGAGGAAUUCAUAUAUAUCAAGUGUUACCACUGCAGUUGAGGCUAACCCUGGGAUUAAUAUUGUGAUUCCUGAUGUUCUGCUGCAAUCGACUCCGAAUGGUGCAUCCAGUGCACCAAAUCAAAUCAGUAACCAUAGUGGCCAAUCUUCCAAAUCGGCUGCACAUCUUUGGAAAUUUUUUCAACUGCACAUCUUUGGAACAACUUUCACUCAUUUAUAAUAAUCUUACUGGAAAAAUAUCAUCUAAGAUAGGAAAUUUAGCUUACCCUCCAAAUUUUCUUUGCUUAUUCCAACAAAUUAGAAGGUUCGAUACCUGAAACUAUUGGGAAGUUAAAAGCAUUGACUGCAUUAGACCUUAGUGGAAAUCAGUUAUCUGGAAUGAUUCCUCCCAGCAUAGGAAACUUGAUAAACAUACAAACCCUACAUCUCAUGGAGAAUAAACUUACAGGAAAUAUACCACCUGAAAUAGGCCGCUGCAGAAGUCUAACUAAUCUGUUUUUGUAAAGCAACAAAAUAGAAGGCAGCAUCCCUCUAGAGUUGGGUAAUUUACGUAACCUGCAAGACCUAGUUGAUUGUUUGCUUCAAGUUAUAGUUGUAUAAAAUUUGUGUUCAGAAAUCUGAUACUUAAUUUCUAACUCUAACAUGUUUUUCUUUGCAUGUACCAUUAGAGUGAUAGAACAUCAUACUAUUAGAGCUGUAUUCUUGUUUGGCUUAAGUGUCAGAUUGUGCUAAGUUUCAUAAUCAUUCUUGAUUAAGUAUUUAUUUUUUCUCUAUUGUCAUC